rnacentral:lncRNA from 1 species
UGUACACAGGCUCGGAAGAGCAAUGGGAUGAGGAAACUGAAACCAAAAGGAGAAGAAGGGAAGAAAGGGAUGCUGACAGCAGAAAGAGACAGGAAAACUUGAAAGCAGAAGCAGCCAAAAUGAUACAGCAAGGCAUGGAUAGCAUACUUCUGAAUAGCAUAUUGUACUGUAAUCAAGGUGGGAUGUACAGAAUCCUGAGAUCAGCUUGAUAAGAGAUUUCCUUAUCGAUCCUCUUCCCUGCAGUCCUUACCUGAAGGGCCAGAGAGCUAAAAAGUAAAGAUUCUUCACCUGAUCUGCACUGGAUCCAAUGAGCGGUAGCAGACCCCAAUCCUAUCCCUGUUCCUCUCUCUCCCUUCCACCCACUGCCCAGAGGGUAGCAUGCCUCAAUCCCCCAUCCCUGACCUGGAAUCUGCUGGCCCUG